rnacentral:lncRNA from 1 species
CUUAUUGGUCAUGAGAACCCUAAAUCCCGAGACCUUAGCCUAGAGAAACCCUCAUAUGUAUUGAUCUAGCUAUUCGAUUGACCUCAAAUCUCUUGUACACAUUCAAAACAAGCAUAUCAAUAAGUCUCUAAAUUUUUCUUCAUAAAAAUGCUACAAAAGUUAUAAAAUCUAAAAAUUUAUAAACCGGUUUUAUUUUUUAAAGAUUUAAAUUCACAGAUAACAUCACUCGCUUUGAAAAUCUCUCAAAAAUCCAAUAUUGAUGCAAACGAUAUGAAAUCAUCCCUCAAAAAUCCCUCCACAAGUCUGCUCCCUAAUUCGGCUCUUUGAUCUUCCAAAAAACCUUUGAGUUGCCAUCAGAGCACGGUUUUGUGCUUCAAGAUCUGAUUUCGACCUAGGUUCAUAACUGGUCCUCUUCGGGUAUCAACUUUCGUCUUCUUGAGGUAAUAUUUACUAAUUUGCACUCCUUACUCCUUUCUACAUAUGCUUAUAUUCUUUAUUUUUUUAAUCUACCUUUUUUUGCCUUAUUU